UGCAUCCAAAGAGCAAGGGGGCGAUGGGAACGCGUUCGUGGAGGCGGGCGAGGGGGUUGGCGGAGUGGAUGUCGUGGUCGCAGGGGAUGCAGAGGGAAGAAGCGCCUGCCUUGCAGGUGACGGAGGUCGGAGCUUGCUCGCAGACCUAGCAGAGGGGGACGCACGGGUGGCAGGAGGCAAGGUUGUUGGCGGCGUGGAUGGUGGAGUCGCAGGGAAAGCAGAGGAACGCCGGGUCGGCGCGGCAGAACAGGGUGGUAGGGAUUUGAUGUGAUUUAGGGGUUUU
rnacentral:lncRNA from 1 species